AAGCUGCCCCGUUUAUUUUGAAUCCUACUCUGUACUCAUUGUCAACCUUCAUUCGAUUCUUAGAAAUAAGUUUUAGGCAUGGAUGAAUGGGAGCUAUGGAUCGAUUGAUUUUAUUUAUUUAUUUAUUUAUUUGAAACUAUUCGAUUUAUUAUUGUAAAUAUUAUUCGCGGCAGUUCGAUGCAUGUGAAAGGGCCACAUAGGCAUGUAUUUUUUUAAUAGGAAAACAAUCACUAGGCAUAAUCAACUUCCUAAGAGGAAUGUGAAAUCAAGUGGGCCUUGACCAAA